GCCAGUUGUUCAGCGGGUGCGGCUGGCGCUGCUGGCGUUGGCGUUUCUGCAGCCGGCGUACUGGGCGCUGCAACCGGCGC
rnacentral:tRNA from 1 species